rnacentral:rRNA from 1 species
GGGNNANUGGACAAUGGGCGCAAGCCCUGANCCAGCCAUGCCCGCGUGAGUGAUGAAGGUCUUAGGUAUUGUAAAGCUCUUUCACCGGUGAAGAUAAUGACGGUAACCGGAGAAGAAAGCCCCGGCUAACUUCGUGCCAGCAGCCGCGGUAAUACGAAGGGGGCUAGCGUUGUUCGGAUUUACUGGGCGUAAAGCGCACGUAGGCGGACUUUUAAGUCAGGGGUGAAAUCCCGGGGCUCAACCCCGGAACUGCCUUUGAUACUGGAAGUCUUGAGUAUGGUAAAGGUGAGUGGAAUUCCGAGUGUAGAGGUGAANUNCGUAGAUUUUCGGAGGAACACCAGUGGCGAAGGCGGCUCACUGGACCAUUACUGACGCUGAGGUGCNAAAGCGUGGGGGCAAACAGGAUAAGAUNCCCUGGUAGNCNAGGGGCNNANUUUUGCAGAAUAUCCAUNAAACUGGCG